GACAGAGGGUGCAAACGUUGUUCGGAAUUACUGGGCGUAAAGCGCGUGUAGGCGGCUCGGAAAGUCGGAUGUGAAAGCCCUGGGCUUAACCUAGGAAGUGCAUUCGAAACUCCCGAGCUUGAGUUCUGGAGAGGAAGGCGGAAUUCUCGGUGUAGAGGUGAAAUUCGUAGAUAUCGAGAGGAACACCGGUGGCGAAGGCGGCCUUCUGGACAGUGACGUGACGCUGAGACGGCGAAAAGCGUGGGUACGCAAACAGG
rnacentral:rRNA from 1 species